AUUGUGUAGUUGAUUAAUAUAUAUCUUGCAUGUGUUUGUAGAUAUGCAACUCGCUUUUCUAAUUUUGGUGUUUUGUUUACAGUUCUUCUAACCACUGCACACAUGCAUUUCGUAGAUACCCAUGCACUUGCAUAGUGUAGAUAUCUAUAUAUUUUUCAUAUAUAUUAAUGCACUUUUUGGAAAUUAACCACUACACAAUGGACUGCCAUUGGUAUUUUCCUUUUGUUUAAGUGGGUACGAUUACAGGUUCUAAUGCUUGUUGCUUUUAUUGGUUAGAGAAAAGGUGUAUGACGGCCUUUUUCCAAAACCAACUCUUCUUUGUUGCUGCCUCAGAGAAGUCCCAACAUUCGAUAACUGCAAUGGGUACAUAACUUCUUUGACUAAAGGGUUUUUGUCACUUUGGUCUUGUUGUUUUGAAGAUUAUUGCUAGGGAGAUGGAUGCACUUCAAUGGUCUCAUUCCUAAAUUGGGAGAGAUUAUUCGGUGUCCUCUUGGCAUCAUCACAUGAUGCCUCGGCUCCUUUUCUCACUACACAUUAGGAUGGGGGAAGGGGGAAAUGCCCGACUUAUCAAUUUAUUUGAUAAACUAUCAGGGGCCAUUAAAGACUCUUUAUCACCUUUUUCAAUGCCAAACGCCCAUAGCUUUUUCCUUUUUCCAAUUAAGGCUCUUGUCAAGGAGCCGAAGCUGUAUUACAAGGGGUGUUGGCUACCUCUUUUUUUAAUUUUGCAUUCUUUUUUUUUCGCAUUUUGGAUGUUUGGCAUAGCACCACCAGAACACAUUGCCAACAUAUGAAUUCUGGAAUUUGAAUAAUAGAGGCUGAAAUGGAGAAUGAGGCC